CUUCGGGUGCGGUGAGAGUGGCAAACGGGUGAGUAACGCGUGGGAACCUGCCCAGUGGUAGGGAAUAACCGCGGGAAACUGCGGCUAAUACCCUAUGUGCCCUAUGGGGCAAAGAUUUAUCGCCAUUGGAGGGGCCCGCGUCGGAUUAGGUAGUUGGUGGGGUAAUGGCCUACCAAGCCUUCGAUCCGUAGCUGGUCUGAGAGGAUGAUCAGCCACACUGGGACUGAGAUACGGCCCAGACUCUUACGGGAGGCAGCAGUGGGGAAUAUUGGACAAUGGGGGCAACCCUGAUCCAGCAAUGCCGCGUGAGUGAUGAAGGCCUUCGGGUUGUAAAGCUCUUUCGGCGGGGAAGAUGAUGACGGUACCCGCAGAAGAAGCCCCGGCUAACUUCGUGCCAGC
rnacentral:rRNA from 1 species